GGGUGAGACAGGUCAUAAUGCAAGAGACAGGCAGAGGAGACGGGUAAUAACAAGAGAGACAGGCGGAGGUGACGGGUAAUAACAAGAGAGACAGGCAGAGGUGACGGGUAAUAACAAGAGAGACAGGCGGAGGUGACGGGUAAUAACAAGAGAGACAGGCGGAGGUGACGGGUAAUAACAAGAGAGACAGGCGGAGGUGACGGGUAAUAACAGGAGAGACAGGCGGAGGUGACGGGUAAUAACAAGAGAGACAGGCGGAGGUGACGGGUAAUAACAAGAGAGACAGGCAGAGGAGACGGGUAAUAACAAGAGAGACAGGCAGAGGAGACGGG